rnacentral:rRNA from 1 species
GAUGAACGCUGGCGGCGUGCCUAAUACAUGCAAGUCGAGCGAAUGGAUUAAGAGCUUGCUCUUAUGAAGUUAGCGGCGGACGGGUGAGUAACACGUGGGUAACCUGCCCAUAAGACUGGGAUAACUCCGGGAAACCGGGGCUAAUACCGGAUAACAUUUUGAACCGCAUGGUUCGAAAUUGAAAGGCGGCUUCGGCUGUCACUUAUGGAUGGACCCGCGUCGCAUUAGCUAGUUGGUGAGGAAACGGCUCACCAAGGCAACGAUGCGUAGUCGACCUGAGAGGGUGAUCGGCCACGCUGGGACUGAGACACGGCCCAGACUCCUACGGGAGGCAGCAGUAGGGAAUCUUCCGCAAUGGACGAAAGUCUGACGGAGCAACGCCGCGUGAGUGAUGAAGGCUUUCGGGUCGUAAAACUCUGUUGUUUGGGAAGAACAAGUGCUAGUUGAAUAAGCUGGCACCUUGACGGUACCUAACCAGAAAGCCACGGCUAACUACGUGCCAGCCGCCGCGGUAA